AGCAGCCGCGGUAAUUCCAGCUCCAAUAGCGUAUAUUAAAGUUGUUGCAGUUAAAAAGCUCGUAGUUGAAUUUCGGGGUUAGCAGGUCGGUCGCGCCAUUGGUAUGAACUGGUCCCGCUGAUCCCUCCCUCUUGACGAACUGUGAUGCCAUUAAUUUGGUGUCGCAGGGAAUCAGGACUGUUACUUUGAAAAAAUUAGAGUGUUUAAAGCAGGCUCACGCUUGAAUACAUUAGCAUGGAAUAAUGAAAUAGGACGUUUGAUCCUAUUUUGUUGGCUUCUAGGAUUGACGUAAUGAUUAAUAGGGAUAGUUGGGGGCAUUAGUAUUCAAUUGUCAGAGGUGAAAUUCUUGGAUUUAUUGAAGACUAACUACUGCGAAAGCAUUUGCCAAGGAUGUUUUCAUUAAUCAAGAACGAAAGUUAGGGGAUCGAAGACGAUCAGAUACCGUCGUAGUCUUAACCAUAAACUAUGCCGACUAGGGAUCGGAUGAUGUUAAUUUUUUAAUGACUCAUUC
rnacentral:rRNA from 1 species